UGUUUUGUGUGUGUUUAAGCAGCUGUGUAUUUCGUCCUGCAUUAUAGAUGACUGACGCAGCGCACAUAUCAUAUCUGAACCUCAACACUCAAAAUUCCUGCUGAUUCCCGUGUUUCCUCCUGCACCACGAAAAAAUAUGUUCACAACCUCCUCGGUUCUGUCUCAGGAAGACUCCCGCAUGGUUUUGUACAGUAAAUUCUGAAAGGUUGAGCUCUUGCAUCUGGUGUUGGACUAGGCCAAAUUGAGCUGAGCUGUGCUGGCAAUGGACCUGCUCCAAGCGCCGCCCCGCCUCCAAGCGAGCCGUGGUGACGUCUCGGGACUUUGGCCAACCCACAGCGAACACCUGUCUCCCCCUCAAACCGUUACAGAGCUCACGUCUGUGCAGGACACCUGAGAAGAAAGAUGCUUUUAAAAAGAGUCGUGUUUCGUGACUGCUGCUGAAAACAC